rnacentral:rRNA from 1 species
AGUCGAGGGGUAUUUAUCUUCGGAUAGAGAGACCGGCGCACGGGUGCGUAACGCGUAUGCAAUCUACCUUUUACAGAGGGAUAGCCCAGAGAAAUUUGGAUUAAUACCUCAUAGUAUAUAGACUCGGCAUCGAGAUUAUAUUAAAGUCACAACGGUAAAAGAUGAGCAUGCGUCCCAUUAGCUAGUUGGUAAGGUAACGGCUUACCAAGGCUACGAUGGGUAGGGGUCCUGAGAGGGAGAUCCCCCACACUGGUACUGAGACACGGACCAGACUCCUACGGGAGGCAGCAGUGAGGAAUAUUGGACAAUGGGCGCAAGCCUGAUCCAGCCAUGCCGCGUGCAGGAUGACGGUCCUAUGGAUUGUAAACUGCUUUUAUACGAGAAGAAACACUGCUACGUGUAGCAGCUUGACGGUAUCGUAAGAAUAAGGAUCGGCUAACUCCGUGCCAGCAGCCGCGGUAAUACGGAGGAUCCAAGCGUUAUCCG